rnacentral:rRNA from 1 species
UACGUAGGGUGCAAGCGUUGUCCGGAAUCAUUGGGCGUAAAGAGCGUGUAGGCGGCUUGAUCAGUCCGCUGUAAAAGCCCAGGGCUCAACCCUGGGAUGCCGGUGGAUACUGUCGAGCUAGAGUCCGGAAGAGGCGAGUGGAAUUCCUGGUGUAGCGGUGAAAUGCGCAGAUAUCAGGAGGAACACCAAUGGCGAAGGCAGCUCGCUGGGACGGUACUGACGCUGAGACGCGAAAGCGUGGGGAGCAAACAGG